UGGCCUAUGGUGUAAUGGUAGCACAGCAGCCUUUGGAGCUGUUAGUCGUGGUUCGAAUCCACGUAGGCCAG
rnacentral:tRNA from 1 species